GACAGAGGAUGCAAGCGUUAUCCGGAAUGAUUGGGCGUAAAGCGUUUGUAGGCGGCUUUUUAAGUUCGCCGUCAAAUCCCAGGGCUCAACCCUGGACAGGCGGUGGAAACUACCAAGCUGGAGUACGGUAGGGGCAGAGGGAAUUUCCGGUGGAGCGGUGAAAUGCGUAGAGAUCGGGAAGAACACCAACGGCGAAAGCACUCUGCUGGGCCGACACUGACACUGAGAGACGAAAGCUAGGGGAGCGAAUGGG
rnacentral:rRNA from 1 species